rnacentral:lncRNA from 1 species
AGAAAAGGGAGGGAGUUGGUGAAACAAUGACAGAAAAGGACCAAAAUGCAAUCUAGGUUAUACUCAGAACAAAUUUAAUGUGACUUUGGAAAAGGCCAAGGAGAAGGGCAUUUCAUUAGACAAUCGACCUGAAAAUCAGAUCUAACCUAAGUCACCGGUGGGGCGUGUUCCUUUCUAUUUAUAGCCAAGGACGGUAGCCAUCUGAUGACUGAUUCUGGGAGUGCAGAAAAUUCAUGUGGACAAAACAAGACUGCUGAGGACCUGGGAAGGAUGGUCCAUCCAUCAUGGGAUGAAGCUAACCUUGUUUUCAUUUGCUGCAAAUGUGUAGAAAUUGUUUAACUCUUCCCAGAUCAUGAAAAAAAAGCCAGAACAAUAGUUUCAAUUAGGAUGAACGGGGCACCU